UACGUAGGGUGCAAGCGUUGUCCGGAAUUAUUGGGCGUAAAGAGCUCGUAGGCGGUCUGUCGCGUCGGCUGUGAAAACUCGGGGCUCAACCCCGAGCCUGCAGUCGAUACGGGCAGACUAGAGUGCUGUAGGGGAGACUGGAAUUCCUGGUGUAGCGGUGAAAUGCGCAGAUAUCAGGAGGAACACCAAUGGCGAAGGCAGCUCGCUGGGACGGUACUGACGCUGAGACGCGAAAGCGUGGGGAGCAAACAGG
rnacentral:rRNA from 1 species